rnacentral:lncRNA from 1 species
GUCACCAAGUCUUCUAUCUUGCUCCCUUCAGUGCCGGCAUAAGAAUAUCUACUAUCAUACCACUCGGAACUGGCAAACAUCUGACGUAGGGCUUCUCUCUUCUCGAGUAUGCUAUCAAGUGCGAUGAAGUUGGUAGCAAACCGUGUGACUCCUGGUCUCAGAAUCUCUCCCCCUGCAUACUUUCUCAUCAAUGAAAAAACCCAGUUAUGGUUAUAAAUAUACCUGGUAAUGCGUUGGGCUGUCUCCACCGUUUGUUGCACCCUACGGAUCUUUCCAAUGUCUAUCAACAUA